UCGUUUUUCUUUUUUUUUUCUGCUCUUUCUCUGUUCUUCUUCUGUUGAAGAUCGAGAGACGAAUUUGAAAUAAGUCUUGAGAGAUUUAAGUCGUGAGGAUGGAUAAAACAAGAAGGAGUUGGUGUUUCUGCUAACUAUGAAGAAGAAGAUUGAGUUGCUGAUAUAAAUCAAGAGUAGGGUUUUGUUCUGGAGUUGAGGAAAUCAAGAAAAGUAAGAUAGAAUCGAGGAGUAGAUGAUGAUGAUGAUGCUGAUUCAAGUAGUUAAUUCAGAUUUACAAGAAAAGGUAUUUCAGAGUGAAACGGGAUUUAGGGUUCUUAAUCUAAAAGUUGGUUUCGUGUGGAAAUGAGAUAUGAAUUGAGUUACUGAUAGAUGAUUAAGAACAGAGUUGUUGUUUAAUUGCUGUUAUUUAUUUGUUUUAAUGGAGAAUUGAAUUAGGGUUUCAUUCGAGUUGCAGAAGAGAAUUAGAAGAUGAAAUUGAUACUCUAGAGGGUCAAUUGAAGAUGGGUUUUAGGAACAGAUCAUGAAUAAGAAAGUUGUGUUAAUUUGGGAGUUUGAAUUGAGAAAUUGAAGGGUUAGGGUUCAUGUGUUCUUUUCCAAAUUGAAAUUAAGGUUUCAUGAAAUUAAACUUGGAAGAGAUGAAUUUGAAGGUUUAGAAGAUCGAUUGGAGGUGGAUUUAACUCGAACUAAGACUUAAGGUUGAAGUAUAACUUGAAUUUGGAAGUCAGGGUUUUGAAUUUGAAGUUGAGGUUCUUGUUAUGAAACCAGGAUUUUAUGUUCUGUUUCAAAUGAAGAAUUAAGGUUCAUGGAUUGAAUAUUAGCUUAAGGAGUUGGAACUCGUGAAGAGGAAUUAAAAGUGGAAGAUCCAUGAUUCAUAUUAAGGUAGAGAAGAAUUUCAUCCUAAACUGAUUGGGGAGAAACCAUUUCAAGGGAGUUGUAUUGAUUUGUAGUUAACUGAAAAGAGAGUUGUGCUGGUAAACUUCUUGUAAGAAAGUUGUGUAUGGAGUAAGUUUAUAUAAAUGAGAUGUUGCAGAUAUUAGUGGUGGUUCUGUAUAUGGAGUGCAUGUUUUGUCAUAUGGAUGGAAUGGUGGAAUUCUUGAGUAUUGAAGUUGUGCAGAAUAGAGUGUUGAUGCCAUGGUUGUAGUUAGUGGCAGCUUUAGUGGAAUCUUGUUGUUGUAGGGAUUGAACUUUAUGAACUGAAAUGGAUUAGUUUGAUGGAGUUUCCUUGAUUAAUGGUUUGAUAAUUGUUUCAACUGGAGUUAAAGAUUCAGGACAUGUCAGGUUAAUUGUGAAUGAAGAAUAUUGUUUGUUUUGAGUCAAAUUAUAUGGUUUCAAUGAGUUAUGAUCGGCCGACAAAUGCUCAGAUAAGAUUGUAGUUGUGUUGAUACUGCUGAACUAUGAAUGGAGUAUGAAAUGAAUGGGGUUUACUGAUGUUUCAUUUGGGGCUUUCCAGUGCUAUCGCAGGUAAGCCGAGUUUACGGUUGUGAAUUAGUUAUGAAGUUUACAUAACUUGAAUGCAUGAUUGAAGUAAUAAUGUUGAAGUGGAAUUGUUGUUGUAGAUGAUUGUACAGAAUUACAAGUAAUGAUGGUAUUAAAUUGAAGUUGUAGUUAAUCUGAAACUGGUGGUGAUUCAGUUUAGUGGAUAAUGUUGCUAAAAGCUGCAACUGCAGGUAAUUGAGUUGUAAUUGUGUUUGUAAUUUACUUCGGAAGUUUGUUUAAGAUAAAUAUAUUGUUAUUGAAAUGUUAAAAUGGUA